UCUAGUCGACACAGGAAGCUGCCGCCGACUGAGCAGGCCACAGGUGGCCAAACAAUACCCGGCUCUUUACAGCCCAACAGUCUCAGCUUCCCUUGCUGUGCUACAAUUAGAACAAGUGGAUUGAUCAGUGAAAGAUGGACAAAAUGGAGCCUUGGCGAAAAUUCAAACUGGGAGACUCGACCAGCUUCACCACAUC